rnacentral:rRNA from 1 species
AACGAACGCUGGCGGCAUGCCAAACACAUGCAAGUCGAACGAGACCUUCGGGUCUAGUGGCGCACGGGUGCGUAACACGUGGGAAUCUGCCCUUUGCUUCGGAAUAACAGUUAGAAAUGACUGCUAAUACCGGAUGAUAUCGAAAGACCAAAGAUUUAUCGGCAAAGGAUGAGCCCGCGUAGGAUUAGGUAGUUGGUGGGGUAAAGGCCUACCAAGCCGACGAUACUUAGCUGGUCUGAGAGGAUGAUCAGCCACACUGGGACUGAGACACGGCCCAGACUCCUACGGGAGGCAGCAGUGGGGAAUAUUGGACAAUGGGCGAAAGCCUGAUCCAGCAAUGCCGCGUGAGUGAUGAAGGCCUUAGGGUUGUAAAGCUCUUUUACCAGGGAUGAUAAUGACAGUACCUGGAGAAUAAGCUCCGGCUAACUCCGUGCCAGCAGCCGCCGCGGUAA